AUUGAACGCUGGCGGCAGGCCUAACACAUGCAAGUCGAGCGGAUGAAGGGAGCUUGCUCCUGGAUUCAGCUGCCGACGGGUGAGUAAUUCCUAGGAAUCUGCCUGGUAGUUGGGAUAACGUCCAGAAACGGGCGCUAAUACCGCUUCCGUCCUGUGGGAGAAACUGCGGGAUCUUCUGACCUCACGCUAUUUGGUGAGCCUAGGUCGAAUUAGCUAGUUGGUGGGGUAAAGGCCUACCAAGGCGACGAUGCGUAACUGGUCUGAGAGGAUGAUCAGUCACACUGGAACUGAGACACGGUCCAGACUCCUACGGGAGGCAGCAGUGGGGAAUCUUGGACAAUGGGCGAAAGCCUGAUGGAGCCAUGCCGCGUGUGUGAAGAAGGUCUUCGGAUUGUAAAGCACUUUAAGUUGGGAGGAAGGGAAGUAAGUUAAUACCUUGAUGUUUUGACGUUACCAACAGAAUAAGCACCGGCUAACUUCGUG
rnacentral:rRNA from 1 species